rnacentral:rRNA from 1 species
GACGAACGCUGGCGGCGUGCUUAACACAUGCAAGUCGAACGGAAAGACCCUGCUUUUGUGGGGUGCUCGAGUGGCGAACGGGUGAGUAACACGUGAGUAACCUGCCCUUGACUUUGGGAUAACUUCAGGAAACUGGGGCUAAUACCGGAUAGGAGCUCCUGCUGCAUGGUGGGGGUUGGAAAGUUUCGGCGGUUGGGGAUGGACUCGCGGCUUAUCAGCUUGUUGGUGGGGUAGUGGCUUACCAAGGCUUUGACGGGUAGCCGGCCUGAGAGGGUGACCGGCGACAUUGGGACUGAGGUACGGCCCAGACUCCUACGGGAGGCUGCAGUGGGGAAUAUUGCACAAUGGGCGGAAGCCUGAUGCAGCAACGCCGCGUGCGGGAUGACGGCCUUCGGGUUGUAAACCGCUUUCGCCUGUGACGAAGCGUGAGUGACGGUAAUGGGUAAAGAAGCACCGGCUAACUACGUG